rnacentral:rRNA from 1 species
GACGAACGCUGGCGGCGUGCCUAAUACAUGCAAGUUGAGCGAUGAAGCUUGGUGCUUGCACCAAUUUGAAGAGCAGCGAACGGGUGAGUAACGCGUGGGGAAUCUGCCUUUGAGCGGGGGACAACAUUUGGAAACGAAUGCUAAUACCGCAUAAUAACUUUAAACAUAAGUUUUAAGUUUGAAAGAUGCAAUUGCAUCACUCAAAGAUGAUCCCGCGUUGUAUUAGCUAGUUGGUGAGGUAAAGGCUCACCAAGGCGAUGAUACAUAGCCGACCUGAGAGGGUGAUCGGCCACAUUGGGACUGAGACACGGCCCAAACGCCUACGGGAGGCAGCAGUAGGGAAUCUUCGGCAAGGGACGAAAGUCUGACCGAGCAACGCCGCGUGAGUGAAGAAGGUUUUCGGAUCGUAAAACUCUGUUGGUAGAGAAGAACGUUGGUGAGAGUGGAAAGCUCAUCAAGUGACGGUAACUACCCAGAAAGGGACGGCUAACUACGUG